CGAAAGUCUGAUGGAGCAACGCCGCGUGAGUGAAGAAGGGUUUCGGCUCGUAAAGCUCUGUUGGUAGUGAAAGAAAGAUAGAGGUAGUAACUGGCCUUUAUUUGACGGUAAUUACUUAGAAAGUCACGGCUAACUACGUGCC
rnacentral:rRNA from 1 species